rnacentral:ncRNA from 1 species
UACAUAUCGCCUUGCUUCGGUCCGGGCGGCUUUUUCCGUCCGGUGAAAAGGGAACACGGUGCGGCGCCGUUACCGGUGCCAAUUCCGCGACUGCCCCCGCAACUGUAGGCGGCGAGCGAAGCCGGACCAAUGUCAUUGCCUUGGCCUGCAUCACGGCGAGACGAUCCGGCCAAGCCAUGACCCGCAAGUCAGGAGACCUGCCGAAGUGAUCACCCUGUC